UAACGAAUAUUCCACAAUGCGCGAAAGCGUGAUGGAGCAAUGCCGCGUGAAGGAUGAAGCGUCUAGGCGUGUAAACUUCUGUCAGGGUUUAGGAAUCCAUGACCAGACCCAAAGGAAGAGCCGGCUAACUCUGUGCCAGCAGCCGCGGUAAUACAGAGGGCUCGAGCGUUAAUCGGAAUCACUGGGCUUAAAGGGUGCGUAGGCGGACGGGUAAGUAUCUUGUGAAAUCCCAGGGCUCAACGCUGGAUUUGCUUGGUAGACUGCUCGACUUCAGCCCGACAGGGGUCGUCAGAACGCUAGGUGGAGCGGUGAAAUGCGUAGAUAUCUAGCGGAAUGCCAAAGGUGAAGACAGACGACUGGGUCGGCGCUGACGCUGAGGCACGAAAGCGUGGGUAGCGAACGGGAUUAGAUACCCCCGUAGUCC
rnacentral:rRNA from 1 species